GCUAUACAUGCAGUCGAGCGGACAGAUGGGAGCUUGCUCCCUGAUGUUAGCGGCGGACGGGUGAGUAACACGUGGGUAACCUGCCUGUAAGACUGGGAUAACUCCGGGAAACCGGGGCUAAUACCGGAUGGUUGUUUGAACCGCAUGGUUCAAACAUAAAAGGUGGCUUCGGCUACCACUUACAGAUGGACCCGCGGCGCAUUAGCUAGUUGGUGAGGUAACGGCUCACCAAGGCAACGAUGCGUAGCCGACCUGAGAGGGUGAUCGGCCACACUGGGACUGAGACACGGCCCAGACUCCUACGGGAGGCAGCAGUAGGGAAUCUUCCGCAAUGGACGAAAGUCUGACGGAGCAACGCCGCGUGAGUGAUGAAGGUUUUCGGAUCGUAAAGCUCUGUUGUUAGGGAAGAACAAGUACCGUUCGAAUAGGGCGGUACCUUGACGGUACCUAACCAGAAAGCCACGGCUAACUACGUGCCAGCAGCCGCGGUAAUACGUAGGUGGCAAGCGUUGUCCGGAAUUAUUGGGCGUAAAGGGCUCGCAGGCGGUUUCUUAAGUCUGAUGUGAAAGCCCCCGGCUCAACCGGGGAGGGUCAUUGGAAACUGGGGAACUUGAGUGCAGAAGAGGAGAGUGGAAUUCCACGUGUAGCGGUGAAAUGCGUAGAGAUGUGGAGGAACACCAGUGGCGAAGGCGACUCUCUGGUCUGUAACUGACGCUGAGGAGCGAAAGCGUGGGGAGCGAACAGGAUUAGAU
rnacentral:rRNA from 1 species